GGGAGCGGGAGCCCGAGCCCAGGGCCCGGCCGCCCCAGGGAGGCGGGGCCUCCGCUCCCCAGCGCCCGCCUAUGGCCGCCGCCCCACGCCGGGCGCUACCCCGGGGUCCUCCCUCCCCGCCCCGGUCCCCCGCACAGCGCUGCGGGGAGCCCCUGGCGCAGCCCCCUCCCCGGCUGCGGGACCGCUUCUGGGGGGGUCGCCUGGUUUCUUCCCACCCCAGGCACCCCCCCCGCGGCGGCGGCGGCGGCGGGGGGGUCCCUGCCUGCUGCUUUGGCCUCUCCCUGCUUUCUCAAGCCGUUCCCGAGGGUCAUCCCGCCUCCUUGGGUGCCGGUCUUGCUGGGUCCCCUUUCCCUCUCUGCUCUCCCGGUUAACAUCAACCCCCCCGGGGCUGACUGCUGCGUCCCCUAGCAUCGGGACCGUGCUUCCGCCUGUGACUUGUCCCACCGGGCGGUGCCAGCCUGUCUCCCCUCCCUCGGAGCUUAAAGAGACGGGGCUCGGGUAUUCCUACAAUCCGCUGCAGCUGAAGAAGCGGGUAGUCACUCAGGAAAGCUUCUGCUCCAGCAAACCUCGUGCCCCAUCUUCCCUCAGGGGAACGACUUCAAUGGCAGCGCUUCUGUGUCAGCAAGAGCACAGCUGUGGUCCUAGUAAUUAGCUCAGAUGCACAGCCUUGCAUGAAAAGAAAGCCAUAGAAAAACCACCCCCAACAGCGAGGCUGUGAUGAAGACAAACAUCCCAGCACCCACAAAAUGUUUGAUCCACUAAAUACUCCUAUUUGGUGCAUCCUCAUGAAGGGCCGGAUGUCUGAUCCUGAAGUGCUGAGCACAGGAGUUGGGGUCUUCGUGGUCUCAGGAUCUGGCUUUUGGUUUCAGCUUAUGAGUGAAUUUUUUGCAUCCUGUACUUAGACACUUGAUCUUCGGCUAGGAAAAGGGAGACACAGAUGAUGCUUCAUAAACAUUUCUAUUGCAAUGGUGAUUGGACUCCUACCAAUUUUGCUGUGACCUAUUGGUUAUUCUCUGGUUGCGUCGAUAUUGUGCCCAGUGGAAAUGGCUCUGUGGUCACUGUGUCCAGAAAGUCCCAUUGCUGUGCUCUCAUCACCUGGGCACAACUGUCCAAUGCAUUCUCACAUUCGUGCGUACUUUAAGUUCAGCCUCAGUAGCCUGCACGGGUUGGUAGCAAGUCUUUUAACUUUGUGCCCCAAGAUGGAACAGUCUCAGAGGUAGCAUAAAAUGGAAGAAUUAUGGUCGUAUUUUGCUGGGGAGAAAAACCCUCCUCUGCAAAAUAUGAAGACAAGAUGCAUCUUGCCCUCUCCAGAAAUGUUGUGAAGCAGUACCCCAGGUUUUCUCAGGAAGGGAAAAGGAUACUUCAAAUAGAGCAUCUCCAUUGGGUUCUCUUUUUCACACACUGUCCUAGCACCAGAAUGUCAGUAAAGAGAGCCAAGGAAUCUACAGAGCAAACUGCAAAAAGCCCCUACAUACCAUAUACGCUCAUCACCAGCUGCUCCUUCAUAGACACCGGUUCUCUCUCUCUCUCUCUCUCACACACACACACACACACUCUCUCUCUCUAACUCAGUUCUAUGUGCCUGUCACAAUUGCUGGCUGCAUUUACAACUGCCUUGUAACACCACAAAUAACAGAACAAAACUAAGCAAAGUCAGUUUACAAAAGAAUUCCUUCUUCCCCGCAACUUGCAAAGGAACUCAACUGAACAAGGGCAAGCCUGAGCAAACAGGUAAAUCUUGCAACACGCCCUGCAGGUCAUCAGAUUGGCUCUGUCAAACCAAUGGAGUAAUUGGAUUUCAGAGCCAAGGCCACCCUCACCCCACUGAUAAAGCCCUUCCUCCAGCCCCCCCCCCAAGGAAUUAAGACCUGGGGACUGCUAGUAUUAUGUCCCAGCUGAUUUCAAGUGGUGGGAUGAUGCAUAAGGAACAAGGUUGUCCUGUGCUGGUAACAGAGGAGAAGAUGUUCAUGUUUCUGUGCUCCCUCUCUGUCCAUAUACACACACACCCAGCCCACUCCAGAGGGAAUGCCUCAUGCAGAACAGGAGACAUGCUUGGCUAUUAAAUGGCGAAUGAAUUCACGCCAUCUGCUUCAGAUUACUAGCUGAGUGACAGCUUCACAUGGGUCAGUGACUCUCAUUAUCCCAACAAGAGGCUGCCAUGUGCCUGCAUGUCAGGAAUUGUGCUUAAUUUUUACACUGCUGAUUAACUAGUGAUUUCAUCCUCUGCCCAUCUGGGUGAAUUUAGAUGGGGAUGGGGACUAGUUCAUUGGACAUUUGGGGAAAUGUUGAAUGUUGGAUUGCACAAUAUUUGUGUUUCAAAAACCAUGUGGUGCUAUUAGAUGCUGGCAGAUUCCCAGGGGCCAUGCUCUUUAUAAUGCAAGUUAAGUCAUUUCUGCUGCAGUCUCUCCCCAUCCAGAUCCUAAAGUUGGUGAGGACUGAGUGUUCAUUUUACUGUAAAAACUGAGCAUGUUUAUCCCAUAACCUUGCUAUGCUUGGGCAUCAUGUCUCCUUGUUUUUCUUCUCUCAUGAGAUGAUUCUGGAGAGGUGACUAGGAGAUGCAAAGGAACCAGGUGAAAUCUGAAUUGCUGAGUCCGCAAAGGGGCCUUUAGGCCAUCCUUCCCAGCUGCCACCCUUGGCUUUUGCUUUUCAGGAUCGCUCAUAUGAUUUAUUAAAGAGCCGUGGUUUACAAAAGGAGGCAGGCGUCCAUGUGCACACUAUGAAAACCAGUCCAUAAAUUUCCCUUUUAACAGCUUUUGUUCUGGAGACAUUAGUCCCUUUGCUGGCCUAGGGCUCGUUAAUAAAAAUGAAGCCUUUUUGGAAACAGUUGUUGCUUGUAUGAUACAUGAGCCCUGCAAAUAACCAUUGUCCCCAGUCCAUCAUUAGCAGGUUUUUCUCUUUCCUUCCUACCCUCCGACCAUUGAUUUAAAGCCAAAGUCUCUGUAAUCAAUGCAUGAACUUUGGUCAGUUCUCAAAACCAGCUAUUCCAGCAUGAGCUAGAUUUUUUCUAUGCAAAUCAUGUCCUGAGCUCAGGGAUAUGGCAGUGACCU